AGAGCUUGAGGCACCUGCAGCGCCGGGCUUCCUUCGCUUGAAGCUGAAGAAGCUUACUUCAGGUGCCCUGUUUUGCUUGUUUGCAAUGGAAGUAGAGAAAAUAGCGAAGAAGAAUAAUGAAGACUGAGAUUGCUGGAAGAUGCCGGUCCAGGCCUCGACGGGACCGAGUGACUGGUGUAAGCACUCCUCAAACACUUAAGCUUCUUGGUGACAUAUAUAGCUCCUUUUUCCGUUUCCGAUCUUGUGUGCUAUUCCGAAAGAGAAAAGACAAAUUUUCUUCCCCUUCCCAUGUUUUGUGCAUGUACGAAGAGAAAAAAGUGUAAACAAAAAAAAGGAAAAAAGAAAAGAGACAUCUCCUUUGAAGAAAGGAUUGUACAUACAUGAAUGAUAUAAAGUUAAAGUUCCCCA
rnacentral:lncRNA from 1 species